UACGGAGGGUGCAAGCGUUAAUCGGAAUUACUGGGCGUAAAGCGCACGCAGGCGGUCUGUCAAGUCGGAUGUGAAACCCCCGGGCUCAACCUGGGAACUGCAUCCGAAACUGGCAAGCUAGAGUGUAGAAGAGGGGUGUGGAAUUUCCGGUGUAGCGGUGAAAUGCGUAGAGAUCUGGAGGAAUACCGGUGGCGAAGGCGGCCCCCUGGACAAAGACUGACGCUCAGGUGCGAAAGCGUGGGGAGCAAACAGG
rnacentral:misc_RNA from 1 species